rnacentral:rRNA from 1 species
CCUACGGGGGGCAGCAGUGAGGAAUAUUGGUCAAUGGGCGCGAGCCUGAACCAGCCAAGUAGCGUGAAGGAUGACGGCCCUACGGGUUGUAAACUUCUUUUGUACAGGAAUACAGUGAGGCACGCGUGCCUGUUUGUAUGUACUUUAUGAAUAAGGAUCGGCUAACUCCGUGCCAGCAGCCGCGGUAAUAAGGAGGAUUCGAGCGUUAUCCGGAGUUAUUGGGUUUAAAGGGAGCGUAGUUGGGUGGGUAAGUUAGAGGUGAAAGUCUGAGGCUCAACCGUAAAAUUGCAAUUGAUACUGGCAGGCUAGAGUACAGUUGAGGUAGGCGGAA